rnacentral:rRNA from 1 species
UACGUAGGGGGCAAGCGUUGUCCGGAUUUAUUGGGCGUAAAGAGCGUGUAGGCGGCCAAACAGGUCAGCUGUGAAAACUCGAGGCUCAACCUCGAGACGUCGGUUGAAACCGUUUGGCUAGAGUCCGGAAGAGGAGAGUGGAAUUCCCGGUGUAGCGGUGAAAUGCGCAGAUAUCGGGAAGAACACCCGUGGCGAAGGCGGCUCUCUGGGACGGUACUGACACUCAGGCACGAAAGCGUGGGGAGCAAACAGG